GCGUCGAUGGUGCAACGGUUAGCAUACGCCCCCGGAAAGAGUGAGAUAUGGGUUUGAAUCCCGGCUGACGCA